CCUGCCCAGGUUCCAAUCUGAAGUCCAUCCAGAUGAUCCUUAAUAAGACAGCAGACGGUACAGGCAUAGACUCCAACACCCUGGCCUUACAGAUGAAGGGCCAUCCUGAGCUGAGGGACAAGCUUCAUGUCGUCACCUCUUGAGGGCCUUUGCCUGUCUACCCUGGGGUGGUCAACUCAGAAUUACCUGAGGAUCUCAAGACAUCUAUCACCAGGCAUCUUCUCAACAUGCAUCUCGACCCCAAAUGGCAAGCUCAACUGAACCAAUACAUGGUGUCCAAA